CACUUAGAAAACAGAUAACAGCCCCUCCAUGUGGGCUAUAUGAGGAGAGAGGAGCAGCAGGCAGGCAGCUCAGCCCAGCCUGGGCACAGCCAGUGCCCAUGGAUUCUGGCUGUAUCGGGAGCGCUGUCUUGCUCAUGGCUGCGUCCCACACCCUUGGCCCUGUGCCUGGCACACAGCAGGCACUUGACAGUAGGAAGCCAUCCCAUGCCCGGGGUGGCCCCAGGCUGUCAGGUUGGGAGUGGGCUGAGCCUUUGUCUGGGUCCUGGCUUCUGCUGCUCAGAACACCACUGGCUUUCUCUUCUCUCCCAAUUCUCUCACCCUCUCAGCCUGGCUUGAGGACACGCCUCUUCCCCCCCUUCAGGAUCACCUUGCCAGACACAAUAUAUGUGUUUAAGAAGCAGACACAUUUGUUGAAUAAAAGAAUGAAGCAAUGGAUGAGGCGUGGGGGCAACCAAGCUGGCUGGCACAGGCAUCAAUACAUGUGGUGGCUCCUGGAGGGAGGCAGGGCAAGGGCAGCUGCAGGGCACUCACCCGGGCCUUGUCCUCCAUCUUCCCAAGGGCUGUCAGUGCUCCUCCAGUGGGUGCCCAAGGGUCCCUCCUUACCCUGGGCCUCUGGUCACCUUGAUCCCCAGCCUACCUGCUGA